rnacentral:tRNA from 1 species
AGCCAGUGUGGUGUAAUGGUUAGUGUGUCGGACUAGGACCUGGGAGACCAGGGUUCAAAUCCCCACUUGGCCA